ACUCCUACGGGAGGCAGCAGUAGGGAAUCUUCCGCAAUGGACGAAAGUCUGACGGAGCAACGCCGCGUGGGUGACGAAGGUUUUCGGAUCGUAAAACUCUGUUGUGAGGGAAGAACAAGUGCCACGUAACUACUGGCACCUUGACGGUACCUCACCAGAAAGCCACGGCUAACUACGUGCCAGCAGCCGCGGUAAUACGUAGGUGGCAAGCGUUGUCCGGAAUUAUUGGGCGUAAAGCGCGCGCAGGCGGUCCUUUAAGUCUGAUGUGAAAGCCCACGGCUCAACCGUGGAGGGUCAUUGGAAACUGGAGGACUUGAGUGCAGAAGAGGAAAGUGGAAUUCCAUGUGUAGCGGUGAAAUGCGCAGAGAUGUGGAGGAACACCAGUGGCGAAGGCGACUUUCUGGUCUGUAACUGACGCUGAGGCGCGAAAGCGUGGGGAGCAAACAGGAUUAGAUACCCUGGUAGUCCACGCCGUAAACGAUGAGUGCUAAGUGUUAGGGGGUUUCCGCCCCUUAGUGCUGCAGCUAACGCAUUAAGCACUCCGCCUGGGGAGUACGG
rnacentral:rRNA from 1 species